rnacentral:rRNA from 1 species
GGACCCGCACAAGCAGUGGAGCAUGUGGUUUAAUUCGACGCAACGCGAAGAACCUUACCAGCGUUUGACAUGAGAAGUGCCGGUUACAGAAUGGUAACCUUCAGUUCGGCUGGCUUCUACACAGGUGCUGCAUGGCUGUCGUCAGCUCGUGUCGUGAGAUGUUGGGUUAAGUCCCGCAACGAGCGCAACCCUUAUCGUUAGUUACUAACAGUUCGGCUGAGGACUCUAGCGAAACUGCCGGUGAUAAGCCGGAGGAAGGUGGGGAUGACGUCAAGUCCUCAUGGCCCUUACACGCUGGGCUACACACGUGCUACAAUGGUCGGUACAGAGGGCCGCAAUCCCGCGAGGGGAGCCAAUCCCACAAAGCCGAUCGUUAGUCCGGAUCGCAGUCUGCAACUCGACUGCGUGAAGUUGGAAUCGCUAGUAA